ACAACGCGGUCUUCGGUGGGGCCUCACUCGCAGAACCUCAAAGAAAACGCAGGCAGCAACAGGAGAUACAUGUUUUUACCCUCGAUGGCCCUCCGCUUUACGUGGAAAGACGUCGAAUAUGGGGACCUUUUGUUUCAUUGGAUUGUUGAACUUCCGACGGGCAACUCAUUCUCCAAAACGGGGAUGUGAUGUUUUGUAUCAGUAGUGAUAGAGAACGCGAGCAUCAAGUUAUCACUAAACUACAGAACUUGAUUAAGCGAAUAUUGACCAUGGUAAAUAUCCUGACCUACAACCUUCAACUUCUAACUGCUACUGGACUUUUUGCUGAGCUUACUAAGUGCAAAGCGAGCCAACGGAGGCUUCUCGAUUUCAGCCUCUGGCAUUCUCACUUUCGCCCCCUUCAAUAUGUUUUUGCAUUUAUUGGAGUGCAGUUAUGAUUUGUUCAUUUGGGUGCUGCUGACCCUAAAACCUAAGUUGGACUCCGAAGAUAUCACCUUACUCAUAGCUAGCAGAAAGGACAAGAUUCGACUGACCUAACGGUAGGAUGAUGACGAAGGGCGUGUCGUGUCUUUCCGAAGCAUUCGUGGGUUGUCGUUAUUCUGCGUCACUGGCUCCUGCUUAAAAUGAGAGAUGCUCUCCAGAAAAUUGGAAAAUUAAUUGCGAUCGAGUAGAGCUUAUCUUUUCUGAUUCUGCAGUGAGGUUGAGUAUCAUUUCCCACCAAGAAUUGUUCGUUCUUAUCAAUUUGGAAGAGCUGGGCAGGCAUCAUGAGGGGCGUUCAUUCUUUUGCUUACCAUAAUGUGCCUUAAAGUGCUUUCGAAUUAGCCUUGCAUUUCUCUGGAGAUGGUUUUGAAAACAACUAUUGGUUUGGUUUGUUAUCCUAACUGGAGCUAUCGAAAGGAUUAGUAGUUAUACGUUGAAGUGCAGAGUUUCCCUCGUAGUUCUUACCCUGACGUGGAGAAUCGAAUCAACAUAGGAUACCCGUUGCACACGAAGCAAUUUGCAAUGUUGCAUUGCGUCUAAAUCAAACGUUUCAUGUCAAGUUCCUGAGUUCAUACUCGCACUGUAUCAUUUAGCCACAAUGAGUCCGUGGGCGAGGUUUAUAUUUGUUGCUGUUGCCACUCUCUAUAUGAUCUUCUCGUCCAUACCCAUGCCUGCUCCUGGCACAAUGCAGAAGAGACUCCUGAUCUGUUUUCAUUUAUUUUAUUGUUACGUCCUUUCCAUUUGCGUGGUGGCGAGUUGGGGAUGGUGAGAAUCCUCGGAUAGAUAUUACUGGUUUGGUUGAUUGACAUGAAUCACCAAUAGUAAUCAGCGGCAGUGAACCACCUGAGAGACUCUUGUGAGUGUUCUCGGAUUAACUCUGCAAGCCCACGAAGUCUCUGAGAUCCUGACACUCAGAUGUGAACCCUAAAUCACAUGCCUACAGCCUGAAGGCUAUUCUUCUGCCCCUGAACAUAUGAUCUACUAUGAUUCAGAAAUCUUCUUUGGGUUCUUCGAGUAAAGGAACAAAAUCAAAUAAAAUUCCAAGAGUCAGGAUGGGUAAUUCAACUUCAUGCUCUUCUUGCAUUCUUCAAACCUACAUGUAAAUUACCGAAACAAAACCUACAAAACGAUAUCCAGAGAGAGUGCUGACAGUCUUCGCAUUUCCUCAGAGAAAGGUUGCGUCUCUCCAGGCAGAGCCGCCAUGUUCACACAAGUGCGGAGAUUGACAGUUGCAUGGCAGUUGAUGUUCACUAAGCAUUUCUGGAUUCUCCCUCUUCAGAUUGUCCUCGCGCUCUAUGCGUUACUAAGCGCUGUUGGCAUUGCUUAGACAGCACAUCAGGUUGUCACAUGCCAGCUCUUGCUGAUCAAUACCCGUCCAAUAAGUUUAUAGAAAAUUAAUUAGGGUAGAGGCAGAGAGACUAAGCAUGAACGAAUGAAGACGACAUCGGAAGCUCUGCGCCAUGUGCAUAUUCUCAAGCUCCAAACCUGAGACGAGAAAAGUCCGGUCAAUACAGCAAAGAAAACUAGCUGGCCACGGAAGAAAGAAUUUGCCACCGCAAGCACAGUUUAUCUGUUUAGGACAGCUCCUGUGCUGCUCUCGACUGCAACGUUCGCUAAUUCCGCGAUUGCGAAAAUUCCUCUUAGCCGGACAGAUGCUUACAGCCUGUGAAAUGCUCAAUAUGCUGCAGAGUCCUUUGAACAGCUUCUCAGAGUUCAUCUCCAACGAAAUUCAGAUGAAGUUGCCUAUGAAUCGAUUAUGGAAGUGUCUGCAAGAUGAGGAAUUAACAAUGGAUGCAGUGGGGCUAUUGCCCAAAUUCUCAAGUGGAAAUGCCUUCGCUAAAAGAAUCAAGCACGCAACUUCAACUGGAACCCAGAUGUUGUACCUUACGCACUCGCACACGUGAACUCGUCGGUAGAAUGGUGAGAUAUUUCAAAGUGUAGUUGUUAUGGAGGCUCCAUCAUCCUGCCAGGUAAAAGUAGCGGGAAGCAUUGCGUCAGGAGCAUAAUCAGCAUGGUUUUAAAGUUGCGAAAAUCGAAUAGGAGAUUCUCUUUGGCAGCGGCACGCACCAGCUGAUGUUCGCGGUAGUUUUUGGCCUGCGCAGAGAAGAAACAGUCGAUGCUUUUUGUUCAUGGAGACCAAAUUGAAGCUGGUGAGAUAGAGGCAUCAACGUGAAUGGUGGUUAAAAGCAACGUAUUCAGCUUGCGGGAGCUUUGUACCAGGGUGGGAGUAUCUACCUGUUUGGUAACCCUUUCAGUGCUGUGGAUGCGCACACAGGAACUUAUCUUUCUAUGUACACACCCGAAUUCUCGCUUAUGCUCGGCAAUGCUUGGAGAUGUUGCUGCCUUUGAUUUGCUGUUAGAUAAUAUAGACCUCCAGAACCUUGAGAUUGUAGGUGCUAAUUCGUUGCACGUAACUAUAGAUGAGUCAAAGGAUCACAAUCUCAAGAUUGUGGAGACAAUCUACAUAACAGGAUUUCGGUAAGUUUUGAGUUGUAGUUUGGAAGAACCUUUUUCGUUUUAGUUAGUUAGCUGUUUGCCGAGUAUGUAAGAAAGUGGAAGGCUCAGCAUCAUUUUUUUAUUAGCAAGAUAAGAUAUCCAGAACUUUCUUUUA